UGUGUGUGUGUCGAUCUCCAGGCGACCAAACAAGGGGAAACCCUAGUUCUUCCUUAAAUCACCAAAUUGGAAGGGAAAUCAGAGCUUAAAUUCAUGAAUAAACGCGUAUAAACUAUCACCAAGUCAUGGAGAUCACAAGUUUGACCUCGUCAAGCUAAGUGGGAGCUGGAAAGGAAUGGAUCAAACGGGUCAAGUGCGCAAGGAAAGCUCGAACGGACGCAAACUGAACGAAUAGCAAUUUGGAUAAUUGCGUCAUCAUAGAAUAUUGAAUUAAUAAUAGCAAGGUAUAAACGGGUCUAUACGUUGACUCGGGCAAG